rnacentral:rRNA from 1 species
AGUAACGCGUGGAUCAUCUGCCCUGAGGUGGGGAACAACCAGGGGAAACUCUGGCUGAUACCGCAUGAUACCGAGAGGUCAAAGGGGGCUCGCAAGGGCUCUCGCCACAGGAGGAGUCCGCGUCCGAUUAGCUAGUUGGUAGGGUAAUGGCCUACCAAGGCGACGAUCGGUAGCCGGCCUGAGAGGGUGAUCGGCCACACUGGAACUGAGACACGGUCCAG